AAAAUUAAAUUGGAAGUCACGACACCUCCCUGCACGCUGGUAGAUCUUACACUUGGCAUUUGGUUUAUCCCGACUCCAUUCCUCACCCCCACCCCUAAACCAACUUCCGCGGAGAACAAUGCUGCCGUGCUAAUGUGCCUCGGGAAAGGAGGAGGAAAAAGUAAACAAGAGUCCAUUACAAAAAGGUUUCAGCCUGUUUUCACGAGUUCAGUCUUGUGAAAUGGGAAAUGUGCCCCCACCAAGUGCCCCGAUCCACAGCGACGGCAUCCCUGGGG